GCCCCCGUGGCUCAGCUUGGAAAGAACCUUUUUGCGCCAAUGCGCAUAGGCUAAACGCGCAAAAACGUUCACGAAAAGUCCCUUUGCGGACUUGAGCAUAUGGAGCACAAGGUUGCGGACCUUGGGGUCGUGGGUUCGAAGCCGAACGCAAUUCCCACCGGGGGCGCCA
rnacentral:tRNA from 1 species